rnacentral:rRNA from 1 species
AACCGGAUUAGAUACCCUGGUAGUCCACGCCGUAAACGAUGAGUGCUAAGUGUUAGGGGGUUUCCGCCCUUAGUGCUGCAGCUAACGCAUAAGCACUCCGCCUGGGGAGUACGACCGCAAGGUUGAAACUCAAAGGAAUUGACGGGGACCCGCACAAGCGGUGGAGCACGUGGUUUAAUUCGAAGCAACGCGAAGAACCUUACCAAAUCUUGACAUCCUCUGACCCCUCUAGAGAUAGAGUUUUCCCCUUCGGGGGACAGAGUGACAGGUGGUGCAUGGUUGUCGUCAGCUCGUGUCGUGAGAUGUUGGGUUAAGUCCCGCAACGAGCGCAACCCUUAAGCUUAGUUGCCAUCAUUAAGUUGGGCACUCUAAGUUGACUGCCGGUGACAAACCGGAGGAAGGUGGGGAUGACGUCAAAUCAUCAUGCCCCUUAUGAUUUGGGCUACACACGUGCUACAAUGGACAAUACAAAGGGUAGCGAAACCGCGAGGUCAAGCAAAUCCCAUAAAGUUGUUCUCAGUUCGGAUUGUAGUCUGCAACUCGACUAUAUGAAGCUGGAA